rnacentral:rRNA from 1 species
GACGUAGGGCGCGAGCGAUUGUCCGGAUUAUUGGGCGUAAAGAGCUCGUAGGCGGUUUCGAUAAGUCGGAUGUGAAAAUCCGUCCACGCUCGAACGUGGAGGGUGCAUUCGAUACUGAUCGUGCUUGAGGGACUGGGAGAGGAGACUGGAAUUCAUGGUGUAGCAGUGAAAUGCGUAGAGAUCGAUGAAGGGAAGACCAGUCGGCGAAGGCGGGUCUCUGGACAGUUCCUGACACUGAGACACGAAGGCCAGGGGAGCAAACGGG